rnacentral:rRNA from 1 species
GAUGAACGCUGGCGGCGUGCCUAAUACAUGCAAGUCGAGCGAACAGACGAGGAGCUUGCUCCUCUGACGUUAGCGGCGGACGGGUGAGUAACACGUGGAUCACCUACCUAUAAGACUGGGAUAACUUCGGGAAACCGGAGCUAAUACCGGAUAAUCUCUUGAACCGCAUGGUUCAAUGGUAAAAUACGGUUUUGCUGUCACUUAUAGCUGGAUCCGCGCCGCAUUAGCUAGUUGGUAAGGUAACGGCUUACCAAGGCGACGAUGCGUAGCCGACCUGAGAGGGUGAUCGGCCACACUGGAACUGAGACACGGUCCAGACUCCUACGGGAGGCAGCAGUAGGGAAUCUUCCGCAAUGGGCGAAAGCCUGACGGAGCAACGCCGCGUGAGUGAUGAAGGUCUUCGGAUCGUAAAACUCUGUUAUUAGGGAAGAACAAAUGUGUAAGUAACUAUGCACGUCUUGACGGUACCUAAUCAGAAAGCCACGGCUAACUACGUG